GGAAUUGUGGGAGUCUAAAACUGAAAAUAACUGAACUUCACUUCCUUCUUGGAUUUCAUUUGAGCUGGGAGUGGGUUUUGUCUCUGCCUACAAUUUCAAGCUGGAAAAGGAGUUUUGCUCUAAGAGACACUUCCUGGAAAGUCAGGAAGAAAAUCUUUGGCAUCUAGGUAGCGUAUUUACUUGGAGAAAACUAAUUUCUCUUAGUCCAGUCUUCAUCUCCCAGUGGUCAAUCUACGAAAAUUCCUAUUGGCUAAGACCUGUGUUGGUCAUCUUAGAAUGGUGAAGAGGUCAUUUGAAAAAUACUUGAAAAGAUUGGGGAUGUUAACUUGGCAAAAAAGAAGACUUGGCAUAAAUCAGAAGACUGCUACAUGAAAAAAAAAGGAUGUUUAUUUUGUGUGUCUUCUAGGGCAGAGGUACGUCUAAUAUCACUUGCAAAUGCCAGGUUAGUUGUCUCCCUUCCUAUUGGAGUUUGACACUAGGGUUCCAGGGUAUAUAGGCUAGAACCUCCUAAUUAGGGCAGGGUGAUAAUUCUUUAGUCAUAGCUGCCAUUCCUAAAUUAAUCAGAAAUCUUAGCUUUCUACAAGAGACAAUUGAUGGCAACCAUCACGUUUAGAGUUAGAAAUUUUCAGGAUCCUCUUUGGCAAAUGAAUCUGAGUCAGAACAAAUAGGAAAGGUCAUUAUCCGUUAUCCACUUAGUUCAUAUUUUUGCCGUUAUUUGGCAAAUCUAUAAGAGGCAAAGCCUAGUUGAUUUGGUUAUCAAAAACCAUCACCAUAAUUAUUUCUCUACUUACAUAACCCACUUCACAAGGAAAGAUGCAUUUUGUUAAUAUUUCCAAAUUAUAUGUAAAUUUUAAUGCUCAUUUAAAAAAAUGUUAAGCUCCAAAUUCUCUUCUCCCUGCCUGUACUUCCACUCUUUAAGAAGGCAAAAAAAUUUUAUAUUAAUUAUACAUGUGAAGUCAUGCAAAACAUA
rnacentral:lncRNA from 1 species